GCCAGCCGACCUUUCUGGUCGGCGGCUAGGCCCAGUCGCCGCCUGAACCUUUUUAACGGCUAAGCCGUACUUAGCCGCCGCCGCCACCUCUUUUUUGGACGGCUAGACGCCGGCGGCGUUUAUUUUUCGGCUCUCCACUCUGAUCGGGGUCUUCUUAAAUCGU